ACGCUGGCGGCGUGCUUAACACAUGCAAGUCGAACGAGAAUCACCGGAAGGAGUUUUCGGACAACGGAAGGUGAGGACAGUGGCGGACGGGUGAGUAACGCGUGAGGAACCUGCCUUUCAGAGGGGGACAACAGUUGGAAACGACUGCUAAUACCGCAUAACGCAUAGGUAUCGCAUGGUACUUAUGCCAAAGAUUUAUCGCUGAAAGAUGGCCUCGCGUCUGAUUAGCUGGUUGGUGAGGUAACGGCCCACCAAGGCGACGAUCAGUAGCCGGACUGAGAGGUUGACCGGCCACAUUGGGACUGAGAUACGGCCCAGACUCCUACGGGAGGCAGCAGUGGGGAAUAUUGGGCAAUGGGCGCAAGCCUGACCCACCAACGCCGCGUGAAGGAAGAAGGCUUUCGGGUUGUAAACUUCUUUUGGCAGGGAAGAGGAGAAAACGGUACCUGCCGAAUAAGCCACGGCUAACUACGUGCCAGCAGCCGCGGUAAUAC
rnacentral:rRNA from 1 species